GGUGGCGCUGCGCGUGCGCACUCGCUCCGAGCCCUGCUCCCGGGAGAGGGAGCUCUCGGGUCGGGGCUAGGGAAGGCUGACCCCGCUGGGUCCGGGUGAAAGGGCGGCGACGGCACUGGGUGGGGCCGAGCUCCAGGGCUGGCUGCUGGGCUGCUAAGGGAAUUGUGAGCCGCUCGGAUCCGCGCGCCUCCCGGGCGGGGCGGGGCCGGCCGUGGGAGUCCGCGCGUGCCCGCUUCGAGCUGCCUGCUCUGGCGGCUUCGCUGCUAGCUCGCGGCGACGUCGGGCCGGUUUUUCCAGGAUGACAGAGCUGAGGCAGAGGGUGGCCCAUGAGCCGGAUGCGCCACCCGAGGACAAGAUAAGUGGAGGGUCCACCAUCACUUUGUCACCUGAUCAAUGGUUGGCUGGAGCUGAGGAUCAUCUGUGCCCACCAAUCCCUGUUGCCUUACACCAGGCUCACGGCUUCCCCUAAUGCAGCCUAUAACUUUUUGAUGACUGGACGCAACGGACAUUAGGGAGACACCAAGAAGGAAGAAAGCACAAGAUUUGGUGACAGGAUGUCAACAGAGCAGUUACACUAGGAGGAAUGUUUUUGGUGAAAGAUAAUGAGAUCAUGGGUUUUUUUAAACAACUUUCGUGUUAUUGCAGUUGACAGUGGACUAUCCAAAGAGAACUGUUCCUACUGAUUUUUAGAACAUAUAUUUUGGCCAGGCACAGUGCUGCUUGCCUGUAAUCCUAGCUUCUAGGGAGGCUGAGGCAGG
rnacentral:lncRNA from 1 species